CAUGCCUUUUGCUCUGCACUCAGUAAAUAAUAAUUUGUGAAUGUGUAGCAAAAGACAGGAU
rnacentral:pre_miRNA from 1 species